UAACUCUGGUAGGACUGUGGGGCUGCCUAUCUCCCCACCCGUACCUUCUCUGCAGGCCUGAAGUUGGUGUGGCUGCAACAAAGUCUAACUGGGAUUGGCACUUGAGUCAAUAUUACCUGCUUGCUUUGAAGAUGUCCUUCCACUGGAGGAGUUUGGGAGAAGGAAAUGGAAAAGGGUGGUGGAGGUCCUGAGAAAGGGGUCAUGAUGCCAUGAAAAAUCCUCUUCCUCUUGGCAACUGGAUGUCACAUCCUGAGGCUCACUCAGCUCAAAGGUGACCUCAAAACCAAACCUGUCUGAAGGUUUUCGUGGGGCUGGAAUCAGUGGAUGCUGAAGUAGCUCUUAGCUGUGCCAGGAGGCCUCUUAGCGACCAGCACUUAUACAGGCUCACACAUCUCCCACAUCGAAAUCGGCAUUCUUGGAUCCGCUGAGUUUUGAUCCACAGUGAGAUAAGGCCUAAGGGAACUCUCUCUGGAGUGUAUUUCAUUUUGUUCUCUGAAUCAAGAGACGGAGCCCAAAGCAAGACCUGUGGAUGUGAAGAAAUGGGCUCUGAAAGCGCCUGUCCCGCACGUCCCUGCUGUUUGAGUGCUUUUCAGCCAAGAGACCAUCUCGGACCAGAUGAACUUUGGGAUGGAGAUUGUCCCUCCUCCAUUCUUCUGGUGGACUCUUUAUUGACCUUCCUGUGGGGAAGCAUUCUAUUAGGGGGGUCUUUGACCCACCCUCCAAGAAAAGCAGGAGACACGGUGAAGCCUGUGCUGGUGGCAGUCACAAGAAGAGCUGUCUGUGCUCAGGUGGCUUCCAGGGCUGUCUGUGCUCAGGGAAAGGAAACAUCCUCCAUUGUUUCUCCCCUAUAUUUGACUGAAACGAAGCUGCCCGCCUGCACAGCGGUACCCACCUCUGAAUAGUUUGCUAUUCUGGGCCCUGUGCAAUUUGGAGACUGACAACUUACCUUAACUGUUGGAGCACCAACCACUUCACAGAGCUCUCCCAGGCACUGCAGUCCCUGCUUCCUGCAUGGAAAGCAUCACCGAUACCAAGCAGGUGGAGAGGGUGGCCUUUCAUAGGAUCAUAGCCUUCAGGACUCUGGGGUGCCACAACUCCUGUUUGAAACAUAUAAUUGCUGUGGCAUUCAGUGCAACUGACGACAGGGAAGCUCGAACCUGGCAACUGCUACCUUAAAAAGUAAUAGAAGAAGGAAGCAAAAACCCCUGGGGAAGCUAUGCAUACAUAGCAAAGGAGGAGCAAUGGGCUUGCAUUGGUAAACUGCUCCAUAGGGCACCCAUUCAGUGCUAUAAAGAAGGCAUCCAGGCUGUGUGUUUCCCAGCUCCUGCAGCGGUAGGAUGGACCAUGAGUGUGCAUAGGAAGGUGCGUGAAGGCAGGCUAUGCUUUCCUGGGCCAGUUCUCUCCCUCUGAGGCUGCUCCGUGCAGAGCCAGCAGUGUGUGCAGCACUGACCAACGUGGUAUUUGAGAGCUUGAGAUCUCACCGUCUACUUUCUCUUUCCAAUUGCCCUCCCACUGUUGUUCUACAGCAUGCGGUGCCUUCAGCCGUGGUUCAGCUGCCAAAGAAGGUGGGGGAGUGCUGUGCUCCCCAGCUCCAUGCGGACCGGGAGAGAGGCAGAGAAACAGAGGAGGCAGGUGCUAUUCUGCAGGUAAUGAAAGCGAUCAGCUGGCUGCCCAUGCAGCACAGCCCUCCUGCCCUCCCCAGUCCUGCUCCCUGCCUUGCCAGGAGCGCACUUGGGUAGAAAGGUCUGAAAAAUCAGGACAGCUUCUAUUCUAUGGGAACAAAAGGUUUCCUUUGUUGUAAUUCCUCUGUUGGGCUCUGCACGAGGCCCUCGCAUGGGGCCCUGCAGCACGUGCCCUGCAUCAUGGGGACAAAAGCAGAUUACUGCAGGGAUGCCUGAAAAGGAGCCAUGACUUGUUCCCUUGUUGCUACAAUCUUGUUUACAGGCUGAGCUUCGCAGGGAGCAAUUCACACAGGUUUCUUUUGCAUUAUAAUAGUAAAGAUUUUUCUUGGUGGGAGAAAAAAAAGAGGAGAGAGGGUGAGGUGAGGAUUUAUCACAGAGCCUUGCCUGAAAUGAUUUAGGCUGUUAAGACCAUUUAUGCUGAAGGAAGUGAUCAGUUUCUGCUUCCCAAACGUCGUCUCCCAGUGCCGUGGGCCUGAUUCAGCAGGGCAGCUCCAUGUGAAGAGAAACGAAGUUGAUGAAGUAUUAGGAGGAGAUGACGGCAGCUAAAGGGGAGUUCAGUGGUUGUCCUUCACUUUUGUCUUCUGUCUUUUCAAGCUUAAGGCAGCAACUUCCAAAAUUCUUCGUGAGCCAAUCAGAGCACUGAUGGAGGGAACACCUUCAGCCACUGCACCUUAACAGCCACCUCGAGUGGCCCUGUGCUGGGUUUUUAAUCAUAUGAUGGCUUUUAAUUGAUGCUUUCUGUAAUAAACGAGGGGCUGCUGUGUUUUCACUGGGUUAUUCACUUGCUUCUGUAGUAGCUUUCAGUUGCAUGAUGCACAAACGGAGUGCAGCCUUCAGAAGUGACCCGUGGGACUUGAGGGCUGAUCCACCGCUACUGAAACGGUAGGACCAAAUUCUGCUGCCUGCUGGAUGCUGGGCCUCAAAGCAGGGGUGCAGAGAGGUGUAGAAAGCAGCAGUGCUCCCUGCUGAGCUCCGUGCAUGGGGCUGCUGCUCAUGGCUGGUGGGACAAAGCACUGCAGUGCAGACUGUGCUGCUGAACGCCAACAUAGGCUGAGCACUGGGGGGGCUGCAGCUCCUUUGAGGGCAGGUAGAGGACUUCCAUUUUAUUUUACUUUCCUUUCCCCUUUCCCCUCCUUUCCUUUUUCCUUACCGUUUUCCUUUCCCCUCCUUUCCUUUCCCUUUCCCCUCCUGUCCUUUUUCCUUUCCUUUUUCCUUUCCCUUUCCCCUCCUGUCCUUUUUCCUUUUCUUUUUCCUUUUCUUUUCCCUUUCCUUUUUCCCUUCCCCUUUCCCCUCCUGUCCUUUUCCUUUUUCCUUUUCCUUUUCCCUUUCCUUUUUCCCUUCCCCUUCCCCUUUCCCCUUUCCACUCCUGUCCUUUUCCUUUUUCCCUUUCCUUUUUCCCUUUCCCUUUCCCCUCCUGUCCUUUUCCUUUUUCCCUUUCCUUUUUCCUUUUCUUUUUCCUUUCUUUUCCCCUUUCCCCCC
rnacentral:lncRNA from 1 species